rnacentral:sRNA from 2 species
UAGAAAUAAACGCCAAAUUUCAGUAUUGAAAACGGGGGAACCAUUCCUUUGGGGUGAACUACCUUUGGUAGCGGGCUAACUUUCGGUCCGAACCCGUCAGCUAACUCCGUCGGCGUAGAAAGUGGGGAAAG